CUGGCUCUGCUUGGAGGACUAUGGAUGGUGGGGAAUCCCCAGGAGGAGCUACACCCUCACCUGCUGCAACAAGACCAGCAUAAGCAUGUCUGUCUACGCUUGAUUCGAAGAGGAGGAUGCAGCCUAGGAACCACUGGUACCCACCAUAUGUGAAGGGCUGUGCACCAGUGCUGCAUACUGCAGAUGCUGCACUGCUGAGCCGUGGUCCAGCAGAGGGUGAAAGGUGGACAAGUACCAAAAACCUGAAUGUGCACUCACUCUUAUUGAGACGUUUGGGUGGUGGCUUCCUUGGGCUCUCAGACAUGACCAGCUUGGUUUGGUGCCUGACAUGGAGCAAGCUGCCCACAGAUUCAUUUGUGCAAAUCAUAUGUCUCAAAGGUAACACCUCCUUUACCACUACUCAGGUUUUAACAAGCUCUUCCAGCUGGGAUGGAUGUACCAAAACACAAUAG
rnacentral:lncRNA from 1 species